GGGGCUUACACGUCACAUAUUCAGUGAACGGCUAACAUCACAUAUAGGCCUACUCCAAUAUCUCACCUUUUUUUUUUUAUUGUGAAAUCUCCAAAAGAUUUUGGACAGAUUUGGAGUCUCACUUUUUUUUGAACCCACCAACUUUAUCUACUCCUUAAACCUUACAGAUAUCAUCUGUUUCUACGAUAAUUCAGGUGUGAGGAUGGUGGAUCAGGAAAGACAGGGGAAGGCAACAGUUUAGCAGGUCCUGGGCUCCAGGUGCUUCCAGGUUCUGGAUGGUGCUGACCCUGUUCAGACUCUGCUGAAGGAAGAGCUGAGCCGACUCCACAGAACCAGAACCGCAACGCGAGUCCACCAAGUCCAGACCGUUGCCUAAAGCCCAGUAGUAGAUCUUAGCACAACUGAGCAAAGUGCAAUAAAUACACGGGCGCUUUUUGCACAUAGCACUUCAACUCUUACAGUCUUUUUAAGAGGUUGUAUUGUUAGAUGUGUCCUUCAUGCCCUAAGAUGUCUUAAGUUAAUUUUAGCUUGAUUUUAGAAUGGUUUCUCUGUUACAUGUGUGUGUUGUGAAGCAAAGGAUUGUAGCACUAUGUGUAUUCUCUUUAUUCUAAAGGCAAAGUUGUGUAAAUGGCUGGCGUUUUGACAUAGACUGCAGUAGCAGGAUUCUGAAAAACGACAGUAUUUCAGUUCUCACUCUUGUAAUUUGUAGACGGCCCUAAGCACUCGUCUUACAGCAGCAACAACAACAGCAGAGAGCAGAAGCCAGCAGGCAAGUGUUAUUUA